AUUGAACGCUGGCGGCAGGCCUAACACAUGCAAGUCGAGCGAGCGGCGGACGGGGGAGUAAGAUCUGUGAAACUGCCUGAUGGAGGGGGAUAACUACUGGAAACGGUGGCUAAUACCGCAUACCAUCUGAUGUGCCCAGAGGCGAGUGGCUAGGAGGUGGGGUAACGGCUUACCUAGGCGACGAUACCUAGCUGGUCUGAGAGGAUGACCAGCCACACGGGAACUGAGACACGGUCCAGACUCCUACGGGAGGCAGCAGUGGGGAAUAUUGCACAAUGGGCGCAAGCCUGAUGCAGCCAUGCCGCGUGUGUGAAGAAGGCCUUCGGGUUGUAAAGCACUUUCAGCGGGGAGGCGUUACCCGCAGAAGAAGCACCGGCUAACUCCGUGCCAGCAGCCGCGGUAAUUC
rnacentral:rRNA from 1 species